UACAGAGGUCUCAAGCGUUGUUCGGAUUCAUUGGGCGUAAAGGGUGCGUAGGUGGCGCCGUAAGUCGGGUGUGAAAUUUCGGAGCUCAACUCCGAAACUGCAUUCGAUACUGCGGUGCUUGAGGACUGGAGAGGAGACUGGAAUUCCGGGUGUAGCGGUGAAAUGCGUAGAGAUCAGGAAGAACACCGGUGGCGAAAGCGCUCUGCUGGACCUUAACUGACACUGAGGGACGAAAGCUAGGGGAGCGAAUGGG
rnacentral:rRNA from 1 species